rnacentral:tRNA from 1 species
GGAUGUGGCUCAAGUGGUGGCGUGCUUGCCUGGCAUGCGUGCGGCCCGGGUUCGAUCCUCGGCACCA